UGUAGAACAAAUCCAAAUGUUUUUGCGGCGAAACCAUUCAGACAGUUUUGCAAGGGAGAGAAGUUUCCUUUAUGGAAGAAGCACAGCAAACCAGCGCAUAGAGGGAUGGUGGGGUACCCUUCGCAAACAGAGUGCACAGUUCUGGAUGAACUUAUUUCAAACUUUCCAGGAUGAUGGUCACUUCACAGGAGACUUUUUGGACAAAAGUCUUAUUCAGUUUUGUUUCUUUAAUCUUGUUCAGGAUGAACUUGAUGAAGUUGUCAACACAUGGAAUUCACAUAAAAUCAGAAAAAGAUCAAAUGGUGACAUGGCAUCGGGUCGGCCAGUUGUGAUGUACUCAUUUCCAGAGCUGCACAGUGCUGAGGAUAGACUCAAACCUGUUUCCAUGGAGGAGGUCACUUUGUGUAUGGAAGAGUGUACCCCAAAGGCCAGUUUCCUUGUGAUGACACUGUUUUUGAACUGUGUUGUCUACUGAUGGAGGAAAAUGGAUGGGAUGUUCCAGCAGAUCCAUUUGCUGCAGCUGAUCUGUACAUCUUGUUAAGAGAGGAAAUACUGCAAACUCUUUGAUAAAUGGUAUUGACUCUCCUGUUGUUUUUCCUCACCCUUCUAACCAUGUUUUGGAUCACAGAAGACAUCCAGACAGCGACUCCAGGUUAAUCCUCUG